rfam:Phlebia centrifuga strain FBCC195 PHLCENscaffold_2776, whole genome shotgun sequence.
GGCCGACUAGCUCAGUUGGUUAGAGCGUGGUGCUAAUAUUCCUUGCGAAUAAAACAAUUACGCCAAGGUCGUCGGUUCGACCCCGGCGUUGGCCA